CUGUAUCAUCACAGCAUCAUCCCCGGAAGUGACAGAGCCUACACACCGACUGACAGACAGCCGCUGCCCCUCUAAAAUCUCACGGCGUGGUACAGUCCGAACCAACAACAGCUUCAACAGUGGAGCAGUCCACACAGCAGCAAGAGGGUGAAGAUGCUGCAUUGCUGUGGAGAGAGAGGCUGUACACUCUGGUCAUCAGACCCCUCAUCGUACUUGGCUUACUCGGGUGUGGACUGCCUGUCAUAGUGUUUGUCAUUUUUGAAGUCCCUUGUCCUGUAAGUAGCUUUUCUCAUUGGUUAGUCUCUUUUUGGCCGCAUUUGAAUACUGCAAUAAUCCUAUAACUCCCGAUCGUCUGAACACCCCAGACUUUCUGCUUCAGAUUGAUUCACACUGUUGACAUGGAGUGAGUGGGAUGACUGGGAGCCUUGUGUUUCAGUGUCAGUGCUGCAGGAAGCUCCCAGAGGAGGAGAAACAGCCUGAGGAACCAGCAGACCUGUCGGUUUGGCAUUGCCUGUCAGGAAUGCUGAAAGUCACCACAGGAGAAAACGCACCCAAGGAGAUUGUGAUUAUCCACGAGACUUUCCUCUAGAGAAUGAACAGACAGGCGCCUGGAAGGUGUUCCUUUUGGAGUUACAGAGAAAGACUGCAUUUCUCUUCUCUGAGAGAUCUGUUUUGAAGGUUUGAGACUGAAAUUCUUGAAGAUCAGUCACAUGGAUUGUUUGCAAAGAGAACAAUGAAGUUAUGUUUGAGAAACAGUACAAUUAAUUUUAACUCACCUCAACUCUGCGUCAAUCAUAGCAAUGCAAUGGGGCCAACUUGGAAAAUAAAAAGCUUCAUAUGAUAAACGCUCAGGCCUUUCUCCCCAAUGAGAACUAGCAGUGAAAUGAAUGGCCAUGAAACGAUUCCACCUGAACUUUUAAACCACUGUGAAGAUGGUGUUGCGACGGGAAAUCUGUGAUACAUCAAAUAAACAUUAAUUGGAUUAUUUUUUUUAAUGUGUUAAACAUGUUGUUUUGCUUCUUUUAAAUCUAAAUAAGUCAUCACAAUAAUGGGCACAGCUGUCUCAUAUCACCUUAUCUAUGUAAUUGUCACAUGUAUAAUUUUAUAUACCUUUAUUAUACCAGCAAGGUUAUUUUUUUCCACAAUGAUAAAUACAGCACUGGCAGUCUACAGCCAAACCCAUAAAAUCAGUUGCCUGGUAAGGAAUUGGAAUUGCUCUGCUGUGAAGGAUAAUAAAAAUACCUCAGUUUGCCAUUGA